rnacentral:rRNA from 1 species
GACGAACCGUGCGAACGUUAUUCGGAUUCACUGGGCUUAAAGGGCGCGUAGGCGGGCCGUCAAGUCGGGGGUGAAAUCUUUCAGCUCAACUGGAAAAGAGCCUUCGAUACUGACGGCCUCGAGGGAGGUAGGGGCGUGCGGAACUUCCGGUGGAGCGGUGAAAUGCGUUGAGAUCGGAAGGAACGCCCGUGGCGAAAGCGAGGCCCUGGACCCUUACUGACGCUGAGACGCGAAAGCCAGGGGAGCGAACGGG